rnacentral:rRNA from 1 species
GAGCGGCCGAUAUCGGAUUAGCUAGUUGGCGGGAUAAAAGCCCACCAAGGCUACGAUCCGUAGCUGGUCUGAGAGGAUGAUCAGCCACACUGGAACUGAGACACGGUCCAGACUCCUACGGGAGGCAGCAGUGGGGAAUUUUGGACAAUGGGCGCAAGCCUGAUCCAGCCAUGCCGCGUGAGUGAAGAAGGCCUUCGGGUUGUAAAGCUCUUUCGGCAGGAACGAAAUGGUUCGUGCUAAUACCAUGGACUGAUGACGGUACCUGAAGAAGAAGCACCGGCUAACUACGUGCCAGCAGCCGCGGUAAUACGUAGGGUGCAGGCGUUAAUCGGAAUUACUGGGCGUAAAGCGUGCGCAGGCGGUUCCUUAAGUCAGAUGUGAAAGCCCCGGGCUUAACCUGGGAACUGCGUUUGAAACUGGGAGACUUGAGUGUGGCAGAGGGGGGUGGAAUUCCACGUGUAGCAGUGAAAUGCGUAGAUAUGUGGAGGAACACCGAUGGCGAAGGCAGCCCCCUGGGUUAACACUGACGCUCAUGCACGAAAGCGUGGGGAGCAAACAGGAUUAGAU